rnacentral:rRNA from 1 species
UACGAAGGGGGCUAGCGUUGCUCGGAAUCACUGGGCGUAAAGGGCGCGUAGGCGGCGUUUUAAGUCGGGGGUGAAAGCCUGUGGCUCAACCACAGAAUGGCCUUCGAUACUGGGACGCUUGAGUAUGGUAGAGGUUGGUGGAACUGCGAGUGUAGAGGUGAAAUUCGUAGAUAUUCGCAAGAACACCGGUGGCGAAGGCGGCCAACUGGACCAUUACUGACGCUGAGGCGCGAAAGCGUGGGGAGCAAACAGGAUUAGAACCGUACCGGACGAAGAUCCAAG